rnacentral:rRNA from 1 species
AUUGAACGCUGGCGGCAGGCCUAACACAUGCAAGUCGAGCGGAUGAAGGGAGCUUGCUCCUGGAUUCAGCGGCGGACGGGUGAGUAAUGCCAGGAAUCUGCCUGGUAGUGGGGGAUAACGUCCGGAAACGGGCGCUAAUACCGCAUACGUCCUGAGGGAGAAAGUGGGGGAUCUUCGGACCUCACGCUAUCAGAUGAGCCUAGGUCGGAUUAGCUAGUUGGUGGGGUAAAGGCCUACCAAGGCGACGAUCCGUAACUGGUCUGAGAGGAUGAUCAGUCACACUGGAACUGAGACACGGUCCAGACUCCUACGGGAGGCAGCAGUGGGGAAUAUUGGACAAUGGGCGAAAGCCUGAUCCAGCCAUGCCGCGUGUGUGAAGAAGGUCUUCGGAUUGUAAAGCACUUUAAGUUGGGAGGAAGGGCAGUAAGUUAAUACCUUGCUGUUUUGACGUUACCAACAGAAUAAGCACCGGCUAACUUCGUG